rnacentral:rRNA from 1 species
AUUGAACGCUGGCGGCAUGCCUUACACAUGCAAGUCGAACGGCAGCACGGGGGCAACCCCUGGUGGCGAGUGGCGAACGGGUGAGUAAUGUAUCGGAACGUACCCUGUAGCGGGGGAUAACGCGUCGAAAGAUGUGCUAAUACCGCAUACGCUCUACGGAGGAAAGCGGAGGACCGCAAGGCUUCGCACUACAGGAGCGGCCGAUAUCGGAUUAGCUAGUUGGUGGGGUAACGGCCCACCAAGGCAACGAUCCGUAGCUGGUCUGAGAGGACGAUCAGCCACACUGGAACUGACACACGGUCCAGACUCCUACGGGAGGCAGCAGUGGGGAAUUUUGGACAAUGGGCGCAAGCCUGAUCCAGCCAUGCCGCGUGAGUGAAGAAGGCCUUCGGGUUGUAAAGCUCUUUCGGCGGGGACGAAACGGUUCGUGCUAACACCACGGACUAAUGACGGUACCCGAAGAAGAAGCACCGGCUAACUACGUGCCAGCCGCCGCAGUAAUAC